rnacentral:rRNA from 1 species
CCGUACGAACAAGGAAGGUUGUGCUGGCCGUCUCUGACGGCAUUCGUGCACGCCUUUCUGACCGACCCAUUUAUUUUCAAAACCUGUGAACCUUUUGUAGGCCAAGCGAUUGGUCUACGUUUUAUCAUCACAAACUCGUAUUUGUAUGUCGACGAACGUUUGUUAAUAAAUAUAACACAACUUUCAACAACGGAUCUCUUGGCUCUCGCAUCGAUGAAGAACGCAGCGAAAUGCGAUAAGUAAUGUGAAUUGCAGAAUUCAGUGAAUCAUCGAAUCUUUGAACGCACCUUGCGCUCCUUGGUAUUCCGAGGAGCAUGCCUGUUUGAGUGUCACGAACUUCUCAACCUCACGAUUCGUCUGAGGCUUGGAUCAUGGAGGAUGUUUGCUGGACUGACAAAGUCGAGCUCCUCUGAAAUGCAUCAGUGAACCCGAUCGCCUUUGCUUUCCUUGCUGGCUUUGGUUUGAUAACGUCUAUGCCAUCGCUCGUCUUUGCGACAAAGGUCGUCUGAUUUGCUCACAACCGCUACCAUUUUGACGCCUUGACCUCAAAUCAGGUAGGACUACCCGCUGAACUUAAGCAUAUCAAUAA